rnacentral:rRNA from 1 species
AAAAAAGGUAAGCUACUAAGAGCGAAUGGUGGAUGCCUUGACUGGUAAAGGCGAUGAAGGACGUACUAGACUGCGAUAAGCUACGGGGAGCUGUCAAGAAGCUUUGAUCCGUAGAUUUCCGAAUGGGGCAACCCAAUGUAUAGAGAUAUACAUUACCUAUAUAGGAGCGAACGAGGGGAAUUGAAACAUCUUAGUACUCUCAGGAAAAGAAAUCAAUAGAGAUUGCGUCAGUAGCGGCGAGCGAAAGCGCAAGAGGGCAAACCCAGUGCUUGCACUGGGGGUUGUAGGACUGCAAUGUGCAAGAGGUAAGUUUAGCAGAACAUUCUGGAAAGUAUAACCAUAGAGGGUGAUAGUCCCGUAUGCGAAAAACAAAGCUUAGCUAGCAGUAUCCUGAGUAGGGCGGGACACGAGGAAUCCUGUCUGAAUCCGGGUCGACCACGAUCCAACCCUAAAUACUAAUACCAGAUCGAUAGUGCACAAGUACCGUGAGGGAAAGGUGAAAAGAACUGAGGUGAUCAGAGUGAAAUAGAACCUGAAACCAUUUGCUUACAAUCAUUCAGAGCCCUAUGUAGCAAUACAGGGUGAUGGACUGCCUUUUGCAUAAUGAGCCUGCGAGUUGUGGUGUCUGGCAAGGUUAAGCAAACGCGAAGCCGUAGCGAAAGCGAGUCUGAAUAGGGCGCUUAGUCAGAUGCUGCAGACCCGAAACGAAGUGAUCUAUCCAUGAGCAAGUUGAAGCUAGUGUAAGAACUAGUGGAGGACUGAACCCAUAGGCGUUGAAAAGCCCCGGGAUGACUUGUGGAUAGGGGUGAAAGGCCAAUCAAACUUCGUGAUAGCUGGUUCUCUCCGAAAUAUAUUUAGGUAUAGCGUUGUGUCGUAAUAUAAGGGGGUAGAGCACUGAAUGGGCUAGGGCAUACACCAAUGUACCAAACCCUAUCAAACUCCGAAUACCUUAUAUGUAAUCACAGCAGUCAGGCGGCGAGUGAUAAAAUCCGUCGUCAAGAGGGAAACAACCCAGACUACCAGCUAAGGUCCCUAAAUCUUACUUAAGUGGAAAACGAUGUGAAGUUACUUAAACAACCAGGAGGUUGGCUUAGAAGCAGCCAUCCUUUAAAGAAAGCGUAAUAGCUCACUGGUCUAGUGAUUUUGCGCGGAAAAUAUAACGGGGCUAAAGU